AUUGAACGCUGGCGGCAUGCCUUACACAUGCAAGUCGAACGGCAGCGGGGGAGAAGCUUGCUUUUCCUGCCGGCGAGUGGCGAACGGGUGAGUAAUACAUCGGAACGUGCCCUGUAGUGGGGGAUAACUAGUCGAAAGAUUAGCUAAUACCGCAUACGACCUGAGGGUGAAAGUGGGGGACCGCAAGGCCUCAUGCUAUAGGAGCGGCCGAUGUCUGAUUAGCUAGUUGGUGGGGUAAAGGCCUACUAAGGCGACGAUCAGUAGCUGGUCUGAGAGGACGAUCGGCCACACUGGGACUGAGACACGGCCCAGACUCCUACGGGAGGCAGCAGUGGGGAAUUUUGGACAAUGGGCGAAAGCCUGAUCCAGCAAUGCCGCGUGUGUGAAGAAGGCCUUCGGGUUGUAAAGCACUUUUGUCCGGAAAGAAAUGGCUCUGGUUAAUACCUGGGGUCGAUGACGGUACCGGAAGAAUAAGGACCGGCUAACUACGUGCCAGCAGCCGCCGUAA
rnacentral:rRNA from 1 species